rnacentral:rRNA from 1 species
CAGUAGCCGCGGUAAUACGUAGGGUGCGAGCGUUAAUCGGAAUUACUGGGCGUAAGGCGGGCGCAGACGGUUACUUAAGCAGGAUGUGAAAUCCCCGGGCUCAACCUGGGAAUUGCGUUCUGAACUGGGUGGCUAGAGUGUGUCAGAGGGGGGUAGAAUUCCACGUAUAGCAGUGAAAUGCGUAGAUAUGUGGAGGAAUACCGAUGGCGAAGGCAGCCCCCUGGGAUAACACUGACGCUCAUGCACGAAAGCGUGGGGAGCAAACAGGAUUAGAUACCCGAGUAGUCCCUGUCUCUUAUAC